UACGUAGGGGGCAAGCGUUGUCCGGAAUUAUUGGGCGUAAAGAGCGUGUAGGCGGCCCGGUUAGUCCGCUGUGAAAGUCCAGGGCUCAACCCUGGAAUGCCGGUGGAUACUGUCGGGCUAGAGUCCGGAAGGGGCGAGUGGAAUUCCUGGUGUAGCGGUGAAAUGCGCAGAUAUCAGGAGGAACACCAAUGGCGAAGGCAGCUCGCUGGGACGUGACUGACGCUGAGACGCGAAAGCGUGGGGAGCGAACAGG
rnacentral:rRNA from 1 species